rnacentral:misc_RNA from 1 species
UCCCGGUUGGCCCGGGCGGUCUCGUCUGAAAAAUCCAACAGACGACAAGGGUUGCGCUCGUUGCGGGACUUAACCCAACAUCUCACGACACGAGCUGACGACGGCCAUGCAUCACCUGUCACCGCGUUCCCCUCGCAGAGCGCGAGGGAACGCACAUUAAAUGUGCGAAUCGUGCUCUCUGAGGGGCACUCGACUGUUUCCAGUCGAUUCGCGGGAUGUCAAGCCUUGGUAAGGUUCUUCGCGUAGCUUCGAAUUAAACCACAUGCUCCACCGCUUGUGCGGAGCCCCGUCAAUUCCUUUGAGUUUUAAGCUUGCGCUCGUACUCCCCAGGCGGGAUGCUUAUCGCGUUAGCUUCUCAGCCCAAGGGGUCGAUACCUCGAACUAAUAGCAUCCAUCGUUU